AGCGAAAUUCCUUGUCGGGUAAGUUCCGACCUGCACGAAUGGCGUAAUGAUGGCCAGGCUGUCUCCACCCGAGACUCAGUGAAAUUGAACUCGCUGUGAAGAUGCAGUGUACCCGCGGCAAGACGGAAAGACCCCGUGAACCUUUACUAUAGCUUGACACUGAACAUUGAGCCUUGAUGUGUAGGAUAGGUGGGAGGCUUUGAAGUGUGGACGCCAGUCUGCAUGGAGCCGACCUUGAAAUACCACCCUUUAAUGUUUGAUGUUCUAACGUUGGCCCGUUAUCCGGGUUGCGGACAGUGUCUGGUGGGUAGUUUGACUGGGGCGGUCUCCUCCUAAAGAGUAACGGAGGAGCACGAAGGUUGGCUAAUCCUGGUCGGACAUCAGGAGGUUAGUGCAAUGGCAUAAGCCAGCUUGACUGCGAGCGUGACGGCGCGAGCAGGUGCGAAAGCAGGUCAUAGUGAUCCGGUGGUUCUGAAUGGAAGGGCCAUCGCUCAACGGAUAAAAGGUACUCCGGGGAUAACAGGCUGAUACCGCCCAAGAGUUCAUAUCGACGGCGGUGUUUGGCACCUCGAUGUCGGCUCAUCACAUCCUGGGGCUGAAGUAGGUCCCAAGGGUAUGGCUGUUCGCCAUUUAAAGUGGUACGCGAGCUGGGUUUAGAACGUCGUGAGACAGUUCGGUCCCUAUCUGCCGUGGGCGCUGGAGAACUGAGGGGGGCUGCUCCUAGUACGAGAGGACCGGAGUGGACGCAUCACUGGUGUUCGGGUUGUCAUGCCAAUGGCACUGCCCGGUAGCUAAAUGCGGAAGAGAUAAGUGCUGAAAGCAUCUAAGCACGAAACUUGCCCCGAGAUGAGUUCUCCCUGACUCCUUGAGAGUCCUGAAGGAACGUUGAAGACGACGACGUUGAUAGGCCGGGUGUGUAAGCGCAGCGAUGCGUUGAGCUAACCGGUACUAAUGAACCGUGAGGCUUAACCUU
rnacentral:rRNA from 1 species